ACGACUCGGAGUCGGAGCCGGAGCUCGAU
rnacentral:sRNA from 1 species